rnacentral:rRNA from 1 species
AGAGUUUGAUCCUGGCUCAGGAUGAACGCUAGCGGGAGGCUUAACACAUGCAAGUCGAGGGGUAACAGGGUCUUCGGAUCGCUGACGACCGGCGCACGGGUGAGUAACGCGUAUGCAACCUGCCCUUUACAGGGACAUAGCCCGAAGAAAUUCGGAUUAAUUUCCCAUAGCUUGUUAAAUUCGCAUGAAUUUAACAAUAAAGCUCCGGCGGUAAAGGAUGGGCAUGCGUCCCAUUAGCUAGUUGGCGAGGUAACGGCUCACCAAGGCGACGAUGAUUAGGGGUUCUGAGAGGAAGGUCCCCCACACUGGAACUGAGACACGGUCCAGACUCCUACGGGAGGCAGCAGUGAGGAAUAUUGGUCAAUGGGCGGAAGCCUGAACCAGCCAUCCCGCGUGCAGGAUGACAGUCCUAGUGAUUGUAAACUGCUUUUCUAUAAGAAGAAUAAGGUCUACGUGUAGACCGAUGACAGUAUUAUAGGAAUAAGCAUCGGCUAACUCCGUGCCAGCAGCCGCGGUAAUACGGAGGAUGCGAGCGUUAUCCGGAUUUAUUGGGUUUAAAGGGUGCGUAGGUGGGAAUUUAAGUCAGCGGUGAAAGGUUUUAGCUUAACUAGGACAUUGCCGUUGAAACUGGGUUUCUUGAGUGUGAACGAGGUAGGCGGAAUUCGUGGUGUAGCGGUGAAAUGCAUAGAUAUCACGAAGAACUCCGAUUGCGAAGGCAGCUUACUAAGCUACCACUGACGCUGAAGCACGAAAGCGUGGGAAUCAAACAGGAUUAGAUACCCUGGUAGUCCACACAGUAAACGAUGAAUACUAGUUGUUGGCGAUAUACAGUCAGUAACACAGCGAAAGCGUUAAGUAUUCCACCUGGGGAGUACGUUCGCAAGAAUGAAACUCAAAGGAAUUGACGGGGGCCCGCACAAGCGGAGGAACAUGUGGUUUAAUUCGAUGAUACGCGAGGAACCUUACCCGGGCUUGAAAUGCAGACGACUAGAGAUGAAAGUCUUUAUCCAGCAAUGGCGUCUGUGUAGGUGCUGCA